rnacentral:rRNA from 1 species
AUUGAACGCUGGCGGCAGGCCUAACACAUGCAAGUCGAGCGGAUGAAGGGAGCUUGCUCCUGGAUUCAGCGGCGGACGGGUGAGUAAUGCCUAGGAAUCUGCCUGGUAGUGGGGGAUAACGUCCGGAAACGGGCGCUAAUACCGCAUACGUCCUGAGGGAGAAAGUGGGGGAUCUUCGGACCUCACGCUAUCAGAUGAGCCUAGGUCGGAUUAGCUAGUUGGUGGGGUAAAGGCCUACCAAGGCGACGAUCCGUAGCUGGUCUGAGAGGAUGAUCAGUCACACUGGAACUGAGACACGGUCCAGACUCCUACGGGAGGCAGCAGUGGGGAAUAUUGGACAAUGGGCGAAAGCCUGAUCCAGCCAUGCCGCGUGUGUGAAGAAGGUCUUCGGAUUGUAAAGCGCUUUAAGUAGGGAGGAAGGGCAGUAAGUUAAUACCUUGCUGUUUUGACGGUACCAACAGAAUAAGCACCGGCUAACUUCGUG